GUGAACAGCAGUUGAACAUGGGUCAGUCGGUCCUUAGGGAAAGGAGAAAUCCUUUCAGAAGCGGGCGCGUUUGUGCAGCUCAGUCUGUGAUACGGAGACGCCCCGCUGCAACCAAAAGGGAAUCGGGUUAACAGUCCCGAACCCGGCUACGGAGAUCGGCUCUUCGGAGCCCAGUGCGGCAACGCAAACCAGCUCGGAGACGCCGAUGGGAGCCCCGGGAAGAGUUUUCUUUUCUCUGUAAGGAGAUCGAGUCCCUGGAAUGGGUUCACCCCGAGAUAGGGACGGUGGCUCCGUAGAGCAGUGCGGCUCUUGCGCUGUCCGGUGCGCUCCUGUCGGCCCUUGAAAAUCCGAGUGAGGGAGUGUGAUUUUCGUGCCGGACCGUACCCACAUCCGCAGCAGGUCUCCAAGGUGAACAGCCUCUAGUCGAUAGACCAAUGUAGGUAAGGGAAGUCGGCAAAACGGAUCCGUAACCUUGGGAAAAGGAUUGGCUCUGAGGGCUGAGCCGGUCGGGCUGGGGUCCAGAAGCAGGAACGGCACUGCACCGGGACUGGGCGAGGCUCGCCGCCGUAAAAAGCGGUGCGGCCGAGCCCGGACCAGCGUCGGGACCUUCCUGUGGAAAGCCACAGCUGUGCAUUUUCCGUGGGCUUCGCGCCUGAGGUUCUUGCUUCGGCCGGCAGAAAACAGCCAACUCAGAACUGGCACGGACCGGGGGAAUCCGACUGUCUAAUUAAAACAAAGCAUUGCAAGG
rnacentral:rRNA from 1 species